AUGGGGAGGGGGGGUGUGUCUCAGUUUGGGUGGGGAGGGCUCAUCCCAGCUUUACCUUCUCCACUGGGAGCUCUGGGCUGGUCCCUUCCCGGUGGUCCUGAGGCUCGGUGCUGGUGGCUGCUGGAUCCAGUCCCAGUGUCACCACACUGGAAUUCCCACCCUCAGCAUUCCCACUCUCGCAAUUCCUGCUCUCUGUGUCCCCUCCACCGCUCUGGGGAUCUCUGGGACAAUCCAGUGACCCCGUGUCCAUGCUCAGGGCAAUCCCAGUGCCACAUCCCUCCUCCAGGGCACCUUUUUCCCCCUCUCCCGCUGCAUCCGGCACCUCCGAACUCUCUGCAGGGGCCGUGUCCUUCACCGCGUCCUCAGGGCUGGAUCCCUGUGCUCCAGAAUUCCCUUGUUUUGGUGAUUCCAGCUGAUUCUCUCCUGCCCCAUCCCAAAUUCCCUGUUUCAGUGGCUCCAGCUGCUCCUCUCUUGCCCUAUCUACCUCUGAAAUUCCUGGUUUCACUGACUCUGGACGCUCCUCUCCUGCGCCAUCCAAAAUUCCGUGUGUUGGUGUUUCCAGCUGCUCCUCUGCUGCCCCAUCCACCUCAGAAAGUCUUGGUUUUGGUGAUUCCAGCUGAUCCUCUCCUGUUCCAUCCAAAAUUCCCAGUUUCAGUGAUUCCAACUGCUCUUCUCCUGCUCCAUCUGCCUCUGGAGUUCUCAGUUGGGGUGACUUCAGCUGCUCCUCUCCUGCUCCAUCCCCCUCCAAAAUUCCAAGCUGGGAUGAUUCCAGAUAAUUCUGUCCCAUUCCAUCCAAAAUUACAUGUUUCACUGACGCUGGGGGCUCCUCUCCUGCCCCAUCCACCUCCAAAAUUGCUGGUUUUGGUGAUUCUGGACAAUUCUCUCCUGCCCUAUCCCAAAUUCCUGGUUUUGGUGACUCCAGAUCAUCCUCUCCUGCCCCAUCCAAAAUUCCUAAUUUUAGUGACUCCAGCUCAUCCUCUCCUGUCCCAUCUGCUUCCAAAAUUCCCAGCUGGGGCAAUUCCAGAUGAUUCUCUCCCAUCCCAUCUGAAAUUCUCUGUUUCGGUGAUCCUGGUGCUCUGCCGCCUCCAAUUCCCUUGUCUCUCCCUUCCUGAAAAAAACACAUUAAAAACCCCAGUUUGGGGAGUUUUUCCCUCUGCUGGGUGUGAACACCAUGCUGGAGGCUUUCCGUACCUGCAAGGCUCUGGCUCCAUGCUCUUCCACAUGGAUUCCCUCUGGAUCCACCUUGCCACUGCUGUUCUUGCUGUUGGACCCAGCAAAUCCCAUUGGGCUGGACCUGGAUGGAUCCAGCCCAGGUCACUCACCCCCCAGUCCGCUCCUGUUACCUCGCCUGGGGGUCCAUCCCAGCAGGAUCUCCAUCAGGAUUAUUGCUCUGGGAGGGAACAGGCACGGCUGAGCCGGCAGCUCCCGGAGCUUCCUGAAGGAUCCGCUUGGCUUUGGGAGCAUGGAAUUUCAUGUUGCCUGUUGUGGGGAGGAAAGAGAGUCCCAAUUUGGAUGUGGAGGAGUCCCAGUUGGAUGGAGAAGGGUCAUUUUGGGCCCAAACUGGGACAUUUGGGCAUUUCCCAGUUACCUGGGAGUGGGUGGGUCCUGCGCUUCCCCAUCCUGGUGCUACCUGGGAGGGACAUAGAGCAGCCCCAAAUUACCCCAGCCCCCUAUUACUCCAACCCCUCUCAUACCUCCCUAUUUCCCCUCAGGCCCCAGCAGCCAUUUCCCCCCCCAGCUCUCUACCCCCUCAGCCCAAUCAAUAUCCCCCAGGCCCCCCCAAAGCCACAACCGCAACAGAAAGCCCUAAACCCUCCAGGCCUGAGUUAA
rnacentral:lncRNA from 13 species